ensembl:snRNA U6 U6 spliceosomal RNA
GUGCUUGCUUCGGCAGCACAUAUUCUAAAAUUGGAACAACACAGAGAAGAGUAGCAUGGCCCCUGCGCAAGGAUAACAUGCAAGUUCAUGAAGCAUUUCAUAUUUUU